UAAAACGUAGGAGCCAAGCGUUAUCCGAAUUCACUGGGCGUAAAGCGCGUGCAGGCGGUCUGAUAAGUUGGAUGUGAAAUCUCCCGGCUCAACUGGGAGAGGCCGUACAAUACUGUUGGACUAGAGGGCGACAGAGGAAGGUGGAAUUCCCGGUGUAGUGGUGAAAUGCGUAGAUAUCGGGAGGAACACCAGUGGCGAAGGCGACCUUCUGGGUCGCACCUGACGCUAAGACGCGAAAGCUAGGGUAGCAAACGGGAUUAGAAACCCCGGUAGUCCUAGCCGUAAACGAUGUAGACUUGGUGUCGGCGGGGUAAAAGCCGUCGGUGCCGAAGCAAACGCGAUAAGUCUACCGCCUGGGGACUACGGCCGCAAGGUUAAAACUCAAAUGAAUUGACGG
rnacentral:rRNA from 2 species